rnacentral:lncRNA from 1 species
GCGGCCUCCGGGAACCACAAGCUGCAGGAAGGUGCAAACAACCAACAGCCCGCGUUGCAAUAAACCAACAUAGCAGCUUUUCACCCGCGGAAGCAGAUGCCUUCGCAGAAGUGUCUCGGGCUGAUAUGGCCCUCUUCCCAUCCCCUGACGGCGGAAGCCCACAAGGAGCCUCUAGCCCCAGAGCCCGGAGCCCGGAGCCUCUGGGGUCGAGCCCCCGGCCCUCCCGGUUUGCCCGACCCGGAGCAGACUUUCACUUUGCCCGGCUCCACGAACAGCUCCCACCUCCGAUCCGAUGAAGACUCGCAGCUACAGUCCCUGCCCCCUGGAACGACGACAUCAACAAAAGACUCUGAACACCAAACUGGACAGUUGUGAGAGUCAUAGAGAAAGGAAAUGCAGCCCAGUGGAGCUAAGAAGCACUUCCAUCAAAGCCAGACCUCGGUCAUCAGUGAGAUUCCUGCCAACCAGUGGUCACCGUCUCUCACCCAUCACAGGCACCCUGUUUGCUCGUUCUGUCCCCAGGAAUGAUGGCAGUCACACUCAGGCAAGUCCCUAAAGGGAGGCUCCUAGAUAGGAAUCUGGUAUGAGCCAAUCACAAGGCUGCCCUGCUGGCUUCUGUUUAGAACAAUAGUGCUCCCAGGACACCUCACUUUUGCUGAAAAUAUUGAUACUGAGGGAGCAUGAACACAGCUGUGUGUAAAUUACACACACAAACAGAUUAGCUCUAUCUGCUUAUAAGGAAUACAAACACACUAAUAAUGCAUCUGCAUUCACAGUCGGAGUCUUCUGCCCCC